rnacentral:misc_RNA from 1 species
UCCCGGUUGCUCCGGGCAGUCCCAUGUGAGAAAUCCAACACAUGGCAAGGGUUGCGCUCGUUGCGGGACUUAACCCAACACCUCACGACACGAGCUGACGACAGCCAUGCACCACCUGUGCACAGGCCCCGAAGGGCUGCCGUGUUUCCACGACAUUUCUGUGCAUGUCAAGCCCAGGUAAGGUUCUUCGCGUUGCGUCGAAUUAAACCACAUGCUCCGCUGCUUGUGCGGGCCCCCGUCAAUUCCUUUGAGUUUUAGCCUUGCGGCCGUAGUCCCCAGGCGGAGUACUUAUCGCGUUAGCUUCGGCACUGAGGGGGUCGAUACCCCCAACACCUAGUACUCAUCGUUUACAGCGUGGACUAC